GACGAACGCUGGCGGCGCGCCUAACACAUGCAAGUCGAACGGAGCAUUGAGAGCUUGCUUUUAAUGCUUAGUGGCGAACGGGUGAGUAACGCGUGAGUAACCUGCCCUGGAGUGGGGGACAACAGUUGGAAACGACUGCUAAUACCGCAUAAGCCCACGGCCCGGCAUCGGGCUGAGGGAAAAGGAUUUAUUCGCUUCAGGAUGGACUCGCGUCCAAUUAGCUAGUUGGUGAGGUAACGGCCCACCAAGGCGACGAUUGGUAGCCGGACUGAGAGGUUGAACGGCCACAUUGGGACUGAGACACGGCCCAGACUCCUACGGGAGGCAGCAGUGGGGGAUAUUGCACAAUGGGGGAAACCCUGAUGCAGCGACGCCGCGUGGAGGAAGAAGGUUUUCGGAUUGUAAACUCCUGUCGUUAGGGACGAUAAUGACGGUAC
rnacentral:rRNA from 1 species